GUAUCAAUGUCUGAAAUCUUACACAAAUCAACGUUUAUUCUGCAAAGUGUCCUCAAAUGUUGAAUCAGUAGUAAGUGUGGCCACCAUUGGCUUCAGUACACUCCAAAACACGUCGACGCAUUGAUGACGUAAGACAACGAAUGACGUUAGGCGUGAUACGUUGCCAUUUCUGUAGGAGACAUUGGCCCAGUUGUUGAGCAGUGACAUGUAGUUCCAUAAGUGUUCUUUAUCUUUAGGAACUCAUGCAUAGUAUAGUGCAUAACAUUACCUCUCGUUUAAUGUUUAUGUAGCCCUUAAUGAUUGCUAUUGAUUCUCUUAUUCGUUAAGUUUCGGUAUUGAUCAGCUCUCAUAUCCACAAGUCACUGAGGUUUUGCAUUUAAUGCAAAAUAAUACAUUACAUAGUAAACACUAUCAGUUUUGCCUCAUCUGUAUACAUGUAUAAAGUAUCUUCAAACAGUUCAGACAAUCGUUGCAUUUUUUUUCUCAUCUCCAACUUCAACCAGCAAGAGAUGUUUUUUGACUCUCGUAAUUUAUUUAUCAACAUGAAGAGUACUCCAUCUUCAGUUACUAAGGAUUACAGGAAUGAACUAAAUUCUAAUUUAGAUUUAAACACAUACCAACAGAG